UACGUAGGGGGCUAGCGUUGUCCGGAAUCAUUGGGCGUAAAGAGCGUGUAGGCGGUUCGGUAAGUCCGCUGUGAAAGUCCAGGGCUCAACCCUGGAAUGCCAGUGGAAACUGCCGAGCUAGAGUCCGGAAGAGGCGAGUGGAAUUCCUGGUGUAGCGGUGAAAUGCGCAGAUAUCAGGAGGAACACCAAUGGCGGAAGCAGCUCGCUGGGACGGUACUGACGCUGAGACGCGAAAGCGUGGGGAGCAAACAGG
rnacentral:rRNA from 1 species